rnacentral:rRNA from 1 species
UGGGGAAUAUUGCACAAUGGGCGCAAGCCUGAUGCAGCCAUGCCGCGUGUGUGAAGAAGGCCUUCGGGUUGUAAAGCACUUUCAGCGGGGAGGAAGGCGAUAAGGUUAAUAACCUUGUCGAUUGAUGUUACCCGCAGAAGAAGCACCGGCUAACUCCGUGCCAGCAGCCGCGGUAAUACGGAGGGUGCAAGCGUUAAUCGGAAUUACUGGGCGUAAAGCGCACGCAGGCGGUCUGUCAAGUCGGAUGUGAAAUCCCCGGGCUCAACCUGGGAACUGCAUUCGAAACUGGCAGGCUAGAGUCUUGUAGAGGGGGGUAGAAUUCCAGGUGUAGCGGUGAAAUGCGUAGAGAUCUGGAGGAAUACCGGUGGCGAAGGCGGCCCCCUGGACAAAGACUGACGCUCAGGUGCGAAAGCGUGGGGAGCAAACAGG